rnacentral:rRNA from 1 species
GACAGAGGUGGCAAGCGUUGUUCGGAAUCAUUGGGCUUAAAGGGUGCGUAGGCGGCUUCGCAAGUGUCUUGUGAAAUCCCACGGCUCAACCGUGGAACUGCUGGGCAAACUGCGAAGCUUGAGGUCGGUAGAGAUUUCUGGAACUCCAGGUGGAGCGGUGAAAUGCUUAGAUAUCUGGAUGAGCGCCUGAGGCGAAAGCGGGACACUUGGCCGAUUCUGACGCUGAGACAGGGAGGCGUUGGGAGCAAUCAUU